ACCCCUCUGGUGUAUCGGUUAACAUAUCGGAUUCUCAUAUAGAGUGUUCCGAUGCGCGGGGUUCGACUCCCCGGGGGGGUG